rnacentral:rRNA from 1 species
UGGGGAAUAUUGGACAAUGGGGGCAACCCUGAUCCAGCGAUGCCGCGUGUGUGAAGAAGGCCUGCGGGUUGUAAAGCACUUUAGGUGGGGAAGAUUGGGUGUAGUUUUAAUAGAGCUACAUUUUGACGUUACCCACGGAAUAAGCACCGGCUAACUCUGUGCCAGCAGCCGCGGUAAUACAGAGGGUGCGAGCGUUAAUCGGAAUUACUGGGCGUAAAGGGCGCGUAGGUGGUUAUUUAAGUUGACUGUGAAAUACCCGGGCUUAACCUGGGGAAGUCAGUCAAAACUGGAUGACUAGAGUAGGAGAGAGGGAAGUGGAAUUUCCGGUGUAGCGGUGAAAUGCGUAGAUAUCGGAAAGAACAUCAGUGGCGAAGGCGGCUUCCUGGUUCCAUACUGACACUGAGGCGCGAAAGCGUGGGGAGCAAACAGG